rnacentral:rRNA from 1 species
AAUAUUGCACAAUGGGCGCAACCCUGAUGCAGCCAUGCCGCGUGUGUGAAGAAGGCCUUCGGGUUGUAAAGCACUUUCAGUAGGGAGGAAGGUAGUGUAGUUAACACCUGCACUAUUUGACGUUACCUACAGAAGAAGCACCGGCUAACUCCGUGCCAGCAGCCGCGGUAAUACGGAGGGUGCGAGCGUUAAUCGGAAUUACUGGGCGUAAAGCGCAUGCAGGCGGCCUGUUAAGUCAGAUGUGAAAGCCCGGGGCUUAACCUCGGAAUUGCAUUUGAAACUGGCAGGCUAGAGUCUUGUAGAGGGGGUAGAAUUUCAGGUGUAGCGGUGAAAUGCGUAGAGAUCUGAAGGAAUACCAGUGGCGAAGGCGGCCCCCCGGACAAAGACUGACGCUCAGAUGCGAAAGCGUGGGGAGCAAACAGGAUUAGAUACCCCUGGUAG